rnacentral:rRNA from 1 species
UACGUAGGGUGCGAGCGUUAAUCGGAAUUACUGGGCGUAAAGCGUGCGCAGGCGGUCUGUUAAGACCGAUGUGAAAUCCCCGGGCUUAACCUGGGAACUGCAUUGGUGACUGGCAGGCUUUGAGUGUGGCAGAGGGGGGUAGAAUUCCACGUGUAGCAGUGAAAUGCGUAGAGAUGUGGAGGAAUACCGAUGGCGAAGGCAGCCCCCUGGGUCAAGAUUGACGCUCAUACACGAAAGCGUGGGGAUCAAACA